rnacentral:rRNA from 1 species
UACGUAGGGCGCAAGCGUUGUCCGGAAUUAUUGGGCGUAAAGAGCUCGUAGGUGGCGUGUCGCGUCUGCCGUGAAAGCCCAUGGCUUAACUGUGGGUCUGCGGUGGAUACGGGCAGGCUGGAGGCUGGUAGGGGCAAGCGGAAUUCCUGGUGUAGCGGUGAAAUGCGCAGAUAUCAGGAAGAACACCAAUGGCGAAGGCAGCUCUCUGGGACGGUACUGACACUGAGACGCGAAAGCGUGGGGAGCGAACAGG